UACGUAGGGUGCGAGCGUUAAUCGGAAUUACUGGGCGUAAAGCGUGCGCAGGCGGUUUUGUAAGACAGGCGUGAAAUCCCCGGGCUCAACCUGGGAAUGGCGCUUGUGACUGCAAGGCUAGAGUGCGUCAGAGGGGGGUAGAAUUCCAGGUGUAGCAGUGAAAUGCGUAGAGAUGUGGAGGAAUACCGAUGGCGAAGGCAGCCCCCUGGGUCAAUACUGACGCUCAUGCACGAAAGCGUGGGGAGCAAACAGGAUUAGAAACCCUAGUAGU
rnacentral:rRNA from 1 species